GAAACAGGAAGAAAAUAAAGCACACCCAUGUUAGGUUCUUGAGAGGGACUGUACUUAGGUUUGGGUUGUCUGGUCUUUAUUCAAGUUUGCAUCUGGGAAGACUGUCACAAAGGCAAAUCAGAAGAUCCA